rnacentral:lncRNA from 1 species
CCUGUAUGAAGUGACAUAAACAGAUUUUAGACAUAGCAGAAUAAAAAUUUUGAAGCAAGAUUUUGGUCAAAAGGAUUUUUUAAAAAGGGAAAGAUGUGUCAGUUUGACCUAAAAUAAGAGGGUUUUUUGUAGAAGUAUAUUGACACACAAAAUGAAUUAUCACAGGUAAUGAGUAUUACUCUCUGGAUUAUCAGUAGCAAUAGGGGUAAAAUAUUAAUUUUCCACUUCAGCUUCUAAGCAUUAAUUUUUAUUUCACGAAUAUUUUGCAAAAAAUGCUGAGAAAACUUAAGUUUCUAAAAGAUGCUCACUUUGUUUCUUUCCUGGGGCUGUAAGCCCGGGAAGCUGGGACCCGGUGGUCUUCCCUCCCCUGGGGAAAGUUGAUGGAGUUUUUUCGGCCGAGGACUCCGCGCAGAAACUCCCUCCGUCCCCCUGUCCCCCUCCAUGCAGGAGACCCAAGUGAGGCUGAGGCUGGGGGCGAAUCACCGCAGAACUGCGUGUCGACGACGCACGCUGAGUGGACAGUGAGGAAGCCCGUCAGCUUGUUAGCCCCGCUGAACCCGCCCCGUAGCUCCGGGCAACCUUUAACCUUUAGCCGCAUCGGGCGCCAGUCACUUUGUUGGUAUGUGUAGCGGCAGUGGCCGCCGGCGAAGCAGUCUGAGCCCUACGAUGAGGCCGGGGACUGGAGCCGAGCGUGGAGGCCUCAUGGUGAGUGAAAUGGAGAGCCAACCUUCCCCGCGGGGUCCCGGGGACGGGGAGCAGAGAUUGUCCGGCUCAAGCCUCUGCUCCAGCUCUUGGGUCUCUGCUGACGGCUUCCCGAGGAGACGGCCCUCGGUAAGGGAUCUGUGGGCCCGGAGAAAGCGGCACAAUGAAAAACGGAGCCAGAGACAGGAAAGAACUGUGCUGAUGCCUGGAAUGAUGUCUUCAGUAAUGCCUGGGAUGAUGAUGUCUCAUAUGUCUCAGGCUUCCAUGCAACCUGCCUUACCGGUAAUCUUGUGA